AACAUCAAUCGCAUGUCCGCCCUUUAUAAAAAGUCAGUUUGAUUCUCUACGGUAUUCAGGCUGAUGAAGGUUUACAAGUGGUCAGAAGCGUAUAGUAAUCAUUAACUUGAAGCACGUUACUGGGCACCCGGUGUUGACAUACUCAAUGGAACAUUGGGAAUCAGUUGUGGCUAAAUCU
rnacentral:snoRNA from 1 species